GAUGAACGCUAGCGGCAGGCUUAAUACAUGCAAGUCGUGGGGCAGCAGGUUUGUAGCAAUACAGAUGCUGGCGACCGGCAAACGGGGUGCGGAACACGUACAGAACCUUCCUUUGAGCGGGGAAUAGCCCAGAGAAAUUUGGAUUAAUACCCCAUAGUAUAAUGAAGUGGCAUCACUUUAUUAUUAAAGAUUUAUCACUCGAAGAUGGCUGUGCGGCUGAUUAGGUAGUUGGCGGGGUAAAGGCCCACCAAGCCUGCGAUCAGUAACUGGUGUGAGAGCACGACCAGUCACACGGGCACUGAGACACGGGCCCGACUCCUACGGGAGGCAGCAGUAAGGAUAUUGGUCAAUGGAGGCAACUCUGAACCAGCCAUGCCGCGUGGAGGAUGAA
rnacentral:rRNA from 1 species